AAACGAAGAAUCGAGUCACGGAUAAAUGAGAGA
rnacentral:misc_RNA from 1 species